rnacentral:rRNA from 1 species
AUUGAACGCUGGCGGCAGGCCUAACACAUGCAAGUCGAACGGUAGCACAGAGAGCUUGCUCUCGGGUGACGAGUGGCGGACGGGUGAGUAAUGUCUGGGAAACUGCCCGAUGGAGGGGGAUAACUACUGGAAACGGUAGCUAAUACCGCAUAACGUCGCAAGACCAAAGUGGGGGACCUUCGGGCCUCAUACCAUCGGAUGUGCCCAGAUGGGAUUAGCUAGUAGGUGGGGUAAUGGCUCACCUAGGCGACGAUCCCUAGCUGGUCUGAGAGGAUGACCAGCCACACUGGAACUGAGACACGGUCUAGACUCCUACGGGAGGCGGCAGUGGGGAAUAUUGCACAAUGGACGCAAGCCUGAUGCAGCCAUGCCGCGUGUAUGAAGAAGGCCUUCGGGUUGUAAAGUACUUUCAGCGGGGAGGAAGGCGGUGAAGUUAAUAACCUCACCGAUUGACGUUACCCGCAGAAGAAGCACCGGCUAACUCCGUGCCAGCAGCCGCGGUAA